rnacentral:rRNA from 1 species
CCAAUAGCGUAUAUUAAAGUUGUUGCAGUUAAAAAGCUCGUAGUUGAAUUUCGGGGUUAGUAGGUUGGUCAUGCCUCUGGUAUGUACUGGUCUCACUGAUUCCUUCUUCCUGAUGAGCCGUAAUGCCAUUAAUUUGGUGUUGCGGGGAAUUUGGACUGUUACUUUGAAAAAAUUAGAGUGUUUAAAGCAAGCUAACGCUUGAAUACAUUAGCAUGGAAUAAUGAAAUAGGACGUUCGAUCCUAUUUUGUUGGUUUCUAGGAUUGACGUAAUGAUUAAUAGGGAUAGUUGGGGGCAUUAGUAUUCAAUUGUCAGAGGUGAAAUUCUUGGAUUUAUUGAAGACUAACUACUGCGAAAGCAUUUGCCAAGGAUGUUUUCAUUAAUCAAGAACGAAAGUUAGGGGAUCGAAGACGAUCAGAUACUGUCGUAGUCUUAACCAUAAACUAUGCCGACUAGGGAUCGGAUGAUGUUAAUUUUUUAAUGACUCAUUCGGCGCCUUACG